GAUGAACGCUGACAGAAUGCUUAACACAUGCAAGUCAACUUGAACUUCGGUUUGGGUGGCGGACGGGUGAGUAACGCGUAAAGAACUUGCCUCACAGAUAGGGACAACAUUUGGAAACGAAUGCUAAUACCUGAUAUUAUGAUUAUAUGGCAUCGUAUAAUUAUGAAGGCUAUAUGCGCUGUGAGAGAGCUUUGCGUCCCAUUAGCUAGUUGGAGAGGUAACGGCUCACCAAGGCGAUGAUGGGUAGCCGGCCUGAGAGGGUGAUCGGCCACAAGGGGACUGAGACACGGCCCUUACUCCUACGGGAGGCAGCAGUGGGGAAUAUUGGACAAUGGACCAAGAGUCUGAUCCAGCAAUUCUGUGUGCACGAUGAAGUUUUUCGGAAUGUAAAGUGCUUUCAGUUGGGAAGAAAAAAAUGACGGUACCAACAGAAGAAGAGACGGCUAAAUACGUG
rnacentral:rRNA from 1 species